AUGGGAUCCAUGACGGUAUUCAGAAACUGCGUUAUCUAUCUGUAGGUCCUUCAAAGGGACUGAAGAUAACUGUAAUCGACUGAGAUCUUGC